ACGGGGAGCACCACAACGGGUGGAGCUUGCGGUUUUAAUUGGAUUCAACGCCGGAAAUCUUACCGGGACCGACAGCAAUAUGAAGGCCAGGCUGAAGACUUUGCCGGAUUAGCUGAGAGGUGGUGCAUGGCCGUCGUCAGUUCGUACUGUGAAGCAUCCUGUUAAGUCAGGCAACGAGCGAGACCCACGCCCACAGUUGCCAGCGUACUCUCUGGAGUGACGGGUACACUGUGGGGACCGCCGCUGCUAAAGCGGAGGAAGGAAUGGGCAACGGUAGGUCAGUAUGCCCCGAAUAUCCCGGGCUACACGCGAGCUACAAUGGUUGGUACAAUGGGUAUCUACCCGAAAGGGGACGGGAAUCUCCUAAAACCAAUCUUAGUUCGGAUUGAGGGCUGCAACUCGCCCUCAUGAAGCUGGAAUCCGUAGUAAUCGCGUUUCAACAGAACGCGGUGAAUACGUCCCUGCUCCUU
rnacentral:rRNA from 1 species